UACGGGGGGGGCAAGCGUUGUUCGGAAUUACUGGGCGUAAAGGGCUCGUAGGCGGCCAACUAAGUCGGAUGUGAAAUCCCCAGGCUUAACCUGGGAACUGCAUCCGAUACUGGAUGGCUUGAAUCCGGGAGAGGGAUGCAGAAUUCCAGGUGUAGCGGUGAAAUGCGUAGAUAUCUGGAGGAAUACCGGUGGCGAAGGCGGCAUCCUGGACCGGCAUUGACGCUGAGUGAGCGAAAAGCCAGGGGAGCAAAGCGGG
rnacentral:rRNA from 1 species